UUGACAAAUAAAUUUUUGAUCGUUUCACUUCUCAUCUUCUCUAAAUAAUAAUAUUGUUUCGAUCAUAUACUUCCGUUUCCCAUCUCUCUGAUCGCGACGUCUACGACAAAGUUCGCGCGUGAGCUGGAUCCGAAUGAAGUUCGACAUCUUAAAUCAGAUAUGACAUGACCGUGUGUAGGAUUGGAGAUCCAGAUUGGAACAAAGGUGAAAAUUGUAAAUGGUGAAGAUGAAGAGUCAAAGAGUAGAGAUCAAAGUGAUAUGCAAGGAUCCAUCAACGUUAGUUUUCAGUUAAAAUUUUCAGAGAGCAAGGAAGAUAAGAUAUUGUUGUUAGUAGAUAAGGACAGAUACAGAAUUCACGGCUUCUACAACAAGUCAGUGUUGUUAAUCUUCCAAACACCCGCUGCGUCUCCGCCGUUUCCAUACUUCUCGGUUACGGUUGUUGUUUCCAUUUUUUGGGUGCAAGAUGUCUCCAUGGUAGCUGUGUCAUUUGAGUUUUGGUCUGACGACAAGACGUCUCUGCUUUUAACUGGAUUUCCCUUAAGCAGCUAUUACUCAAAGCAGUGUGUCUGAGGGCUUCAAGCUUGAGCUUCACACAGAUUCGAGUUACUCUCCCGUGUCACUUGAAUUUCCCCCAAAAACAGUCUUACAAUAAUGAGGGCAGGAGUUUAAAAUUUAAACACAGUGAGGGAAAGCUUUCAAUAGUCAAUACGUUAUAUGUGAGGGAUGCUUUUGGUAAUCAAGGUCAUGGUAAGACCAUAUAUACAAUUAGGCAAGUCAUUGUUCAGAUAAUAAAACGUAAAAGGCAGAAACACAAUCACCAAACUGAGUUUUCAAGAAUCAGACAAGGAUUUGGUUUUGGGAUUUCAGAUUGAUCAGAUCUUAAUUUAUUGAAUGAAGUGUGCCUCUAUCUGUAAAUUACAGUAAUUAGUACUGCAUUGUGUAAAUAUGUAGAUGAAGAAGUAGGACAUGGAAGUUUAGAUUUUUAGUCACAGGUUCUGUACUCUUUAAAUGCAGACAAUUUUUUCUAUGUUUCUGGUUCAGGUGAUUUUUAGUCACAGGUUCUAUACUCUUCAAAUGUUCUCUGUGGGAGAGAGAGAGAGAGAGAGAGAGAGAGAGAGAGAGAGAGGCAAGUUGUGACAUCACUAUGACCAGUAGAAAGUUAUCAGAUUUUGCUUUAGUUGACUGACCACUAUGAACAGGUUACAUCAAAGGUUUGCUUUAGUUUGCAUUUAUGUUGCUAUCAUGACGAAUUUUAUUAGCUUAAACUCUUAUGCUCUGUUUUUUUGGGUUAUAAUGUUAUUAUGUGGCAGGCUCAGUAAAGAAAACAAAGUACAGCUUCAGAAAAUCCUGGUGUAGGGCGGCUAGCUUGGAAGGAAGGAACCCGAUUAUUGUCAUCACUGGUACGGCAAGAAAGGGCACCGAUUUGAUUUCGCAUGUCAUGACCUUGCACGAUUGGAAACCCGACAGCAUAAAAAAAUCAGACUAGAAAGAUUCAGAGCAAAGAGAUACAACUUUCUUGAAAAAUUAGUCAUUUAACCGGAUUAGUAUGUGCGCGUUCUUUUAGGGUAAGACAUGUGGAUUAGUAUGUGUCUUAUGGUAAGACAUAUAUGUACAGUAUGUGUAUUACAACGGUGUUUAAAACUUUUAAAACUUUUGAUGCCAUAAGCCAAAUUAAAAUAGUAUUAUAAUUUUCUACUA